rnacentral:rRNA from 1 species
AGCGAACGCUGGCGGCAGGCCUAACACAUGCAAGUCGAACGAACCUUUCGGGGUUAGUGGCGGACGGGUGAGUAACACGUGGGAACGUGCCUUUAGGUUCGGAAUAACUCAGGGAAACUUGUGCUAAUACCGAAUGUGCCCUUCGGGGGAAAGAUUUGUCGCCUUUAGAGCGGCCCGCGUCUGAUUAGCUAGUUGGUUGAGGUAAUGGCUCACCAAGGCGACGAUCAGUAGCUGGUCUGAGAGGAUGAUCAGCCACAUUGGGACUGAGACACGGCCCAAACUCCUACGGGAGGCAGCAGUGGGGAAUCUUGCGCAAUGGGCGAAAGCCUGACGCAGCCAUGCCGCGUGAAUGAUGAAGGUCUUAGGAUUGUAAAAUUCUUUCACCGGGGACGAUAAUGACGGUACCCGGAGAAGAAGCCCCGGCUAACUUCGUG